UGUGCCAGAGCCCCUGGCUCUGGUGGCUAAGACCUCACUGUGCACCUCUCCCGCCAACGCCGUGCUCAGUGCGUCAUGUGGGUAGCUUGACGUCAACCGUGCUGGGAGUAUUUGCACCAUGGGAAUUGGCAGACGCUACAAGGGCUCCCCCCCACCUCCCCAUCUCAGAGAGCCGGUUGCUAAGCUGUUGACCGGAACGCCGCUGUCUGAAACCCAAAGACAGUCCCUUACACGGCCACCGUCUUAUUAUCGCACCCGAUGAAACUAACGCUAACAUCCUAGUUCAAUGUCCCCACUGGUUUCAAAAACAUCUGCUUACAGGCGGUUUGUCCAGUCAGGGCUUCUCUUUGGAUAUAAGGAUAUUUGGUUGUUACGUCUCUUAAUUUUCCUUAAUCUAGAGCAAUGCUCCUUUAUCCCCCACUUGUGGGUUUUUUUUUUUUUUUAAUGCCCUUGGUUGCUGAGACAUCGGGUGGACCUGUAGCGGGUCCUGCCUUCUGCAUCGCCCGUGUGCGCUGUCACUUACCACGUCCUCUGUGCCCGCGCGUCCUGUGGAUGCUGUACAGGCUGCAUGGAUCGCGGUGGCUUGUUGUUACUUUGCCAUCCACACACACUGAGUGCACUCACCGUGGAAUCCUCUGCCUUUGGGGAGGGGUCACCACACCGAGGAAAGCCAACUCUUCUGAUUGGGCCUCGCUGCCAGUCGGGGCAGGUCUUUCUGCAUUCCGUCUCGUCUCGUCUUGGGGGUGAAGAACCUGUAGCUGCCUUCCGGAGUUCAUUCCAGGAUGCCUUCACUUGGACCGGCGGGCCGUAUUCCUACCUCCUGUCUAACUGCAGUCUCUCCUGCUUUAGGUGCAGCCCAUUUUCUCUGCCUGGGACCCUGGGAUUUCUCAACCUCCUCUCUUUCAAGUCUCUUCCUGUGCCAAGGAGAAAAACAACCCCAGACAUCUUGUGACUCCGGGAUUUUUAAGCCCUGCACUUGAAGCAGUCAUCGCUGCAUCCCGGAGUGGUUAUAACCUUGCUAUGGCCUAGCCCCUGCACAGGAGCAGCCGUGCGUGCCUUCUCCGCCCGCCCGAAGCCUUUCCCCUUUGCCUGCCGUCCUGGGUCCCUCCGUGCACCCUGGCUGGCAGCGCUGGGUCUUGCCCACCCACCCAGCGUCAGGUCGUGGUCCUGACCUCCUGACAGGGCUCCUGUCCUCUCCUGGUCUUCCCACCUGGUUGAGUCCUGGAAGCUGGUUUCUCUGAGCUGUCCUUCUCUUGUCCCCUCACCGGGUCAGCCGGGAGCUUGCUCUUCCCUUUCAGAAAUGGAGCGCUGUGGAGAGAUGCUGGCUCUUUGGGAGGCAAAGUGGCAUCUGGGAGCAUGGAGGCGUUUGAACGUGCCGAAGCUGCUGUCAGGAGGACGUAUGGAACAGGACCCAGCCGAGGACACAAGCCGUUGAGGGGUGGGAAGGCCCGGGAAGACAGCAGAGGAACCUGGAGGAACUAAGAUCUACCCCUGUAGUGACCGUUGAGAAGGAAGCAGCCAGUCUGGAAAGCCGGGGCACCUGCCAUCCUGCCGUCUCAGAGGAACGUCUCCCUUGUAAAGAAAAGUUCAAGAUGAAGAAACAGGCCAGGAGAGGCUUCUCAGCUUGCCCAAGGUCACAUAGCGAGAAGGUGCCAGACCAAGCUGCAAGCCCAGGCAGUCUGGCUCCGGAGCCCGAGCUUUCACCCCAGAACGCAUCUGCAGCCGGGGUCUGGCCCUCGGCCCAGAAGCGUGU